GACGAACCGAGCGAACGUUGUUCGGAAUCACUGGGCUUAAAGGGCGCGUAGGCGGGCGGCCGCGUCCGGGGUGAAAUCCCACGGCUCAACCGUGGAACGGCCUCGGAUACGGGCGGCCUGGAGGCGGGUAGGGGCAGGCGGAACUGUGGGUGGAGCGGUGAAAUGCGUUGAGAUCCACAGGAACUCCGGUGGCGAAGGCGGCCUGUUGGACCCGAACUGACGCUGAGGCGCGAAAGCCAGGGGAGCGAACGGG
rnacentral:rRNA from 1 species